GACGAACGCUGGCGGCGUGCUUAACACAUGCAAGUCGAACGGAGCGAAUGAAAGCUUGCUUUUAUGAGCUUAGUGGCAAACGGGUGAGUAACACGUAGACAACCUGCCGACAGGAUGGGGACAACAUUCCGAAAGGAAUGCCAAUACCGAAUGAAGCGGAGGAGAGGCAUCUCUCUUCCGUGAAAGAUGGCCUCUUUUUAUGCUAUCACCUGUUGAUGGGUCUGCGUCUGAUUAGCUGGUUGGUGAGGUAACGGCUCACCAAGGCGACGAUCAGUAGCCGGUCUGAGAGGAUGAACGGCCACAUUGGGACUGAGACACGGCCCAGACUCCUACGGGAGGCAGCAGUGGGGAAUCUUCCGCAAUGGGCGCAAGCCUGACGGAGCAACGCCGCGUGAGUGAAGAAGGUCUUCGGAUCGUAAAGCUCUGUUGACGGGGACGAACGUGCGGAGUGCGAAUAGCGCUU
rnacentral:rRNA from 1 species